AGUGAACGCUGGCGGUAGGCCUAACACAUGCAAGUCGAACGGCAGCACAGGAGAGCUUGCUCUCUGGGUGGCGAGUGGCGGACGGGUGAGGAAUACGUCGGAAUCUACUCUGACGUGGGGGAUAACGUAGGGAAACUUACGCUAAUACCGCAUACGACCUACGGGUGAAAGCAGGGGACCUUCGGGCCUUGCGCGAUGGAGUGAGCCGAUGUCGGAUUAGCUAGUUGGCGGGGUAAAGGCCCACCAAGGCGACGAUCCAUAGCUGGUCUGAGAGGAUGAUCAGCCACACUGGAACUGAGACACGGUCCAGACUCCUACGGGAGGCAGCAGUGGGGAAUAUUGGACAAUGGGCGCAAGCCUGAUCCAGCCAUACCGCGUGGGUGAAGAAGGCCUUCGGGUUGUAAAGCCCUUUUGUUGGGAAAGAAAUCCAGCUGGCUAAUACCCGGUUGGGAUGACGGUACCCAAAGAAUAAGCACCGGCUAACUUCGUGCCAGCCGCCGCCGUAA
rnacentral:rRNA from 1 species